rnacentral:sRNA from 1 species
UCCUUAUCGUGUUGGGAAACAUAACAUUGAGGAUGCCCUCUCUGUGUCUUGUUUUUCUGCUUCUAUUUCUCCAGAGCCCAGCACAAGCAAAUUGAGUAGGAGCUCAGUUAGUGUUUGAAUUACUCUUCCUUUUUCCAUGACAAAAUAGCUCAUAGGAUCAAGAUAGAACAGGCUUAUUUGGUUUCAUGUUUACAGUUCAUCAUGGUGGAAAAAUGAAUGGCAGUGGGAUAAUGAGGAGGAGGCUUGUUCACUGCAUACUGAUAGAGUAAAUACAGAGAGAUGUGGUCAGAAUUAGGUAGGACUAUAGCCUUAAAAGACCUCCCUUACUCACACUCUAGUUAACAUUAACUACGAACCUGACACAGCCUAGAACUGUAUGAGAGGAAAGCCCCAAUUAAGGAAAUGUGUAGAUCAUAUUGGCCUGUGGGCAUGUCUUUGAAGGAGUGUCUUGAUUGUUAAUUGACAUAAGAGAGCCCUUUCAAAUAGAGCAAUGAAAGCAACCAUUCAAAACAUGAGUGUUUGGAGGUUAUUUCUGAUUCAAACCAUCAUAGUGAAUAUUAAUUACAUGCACACAUGUAUGUACAAGUGCAUGCAUGCAUACAUGAGUUAAUGAAUUUCAGAGCCUAUUAGUCAUAACUCUAGUACGUUGAGGUGCAGUAAGAAUAUUUGAUCAACUCUACCUCAAAAAUAAGUGUUCUGACCAAUGGGAGAGCAGUCUUCUCGUGAGGAAAACUAAAAGAAGAUUCUUAAAGACAGCCUCCAUAUAUGAGAAUUGGGCUUUUAAGUUGAUCGUGGCCUGACCCCUCACCCCUUAUCUCAUGCAGCACAAGCUUGUCUGGCCUUAGAUACAUUUACACAUCCUGCCUUAAUUUGAUUAGCGACAGAUGCUAUUAUCUGAGGAAAUCUAAAUUGCCUCUUCCUGUGCUAAUGAACUACUGUACCAAGUACAUGGGGAUUUGAGAGCAAGAGAGAUUUAUUAAUGAGUGCCUAAUUAAAGGGACAGUUACAGAGUUCUAGGGGAGAGGGAAAGAAUGUUUCCAUUUCUUAUAAAGACUGAUCCUUUUUCUUGACAAAAUGAAAAUGUUUUACAUCUAGUUAAGAUCUUUAAAUGUCACAAUUUAGAAGCUGAGUGAAGAGUUGGGUUUAAUGGGAUGAAAUGGAAUGCACUGUUCUCUUCCUGGUUAAGGAUGAGGACCAUCAGCCUUUCUAUCACAAGUCUCCCCAGCCCUUCUCACACGAAGCCCUGCUGCUACAUCUUUUCAGCUAAUGAUGCUCUGAGUAUCCAGCCCUGAAACAGAUGACUUUUCCAUGCUAUAAUAGAAGUGAGCAUCUGAGAAUCUGGCCCAUGUUUGCUCUAUGGUGUACACACAAGAUUAUCCCUUGGGCUAUGGCAUUGCUCUCAACAGGAAAGCACUGAGUUCUUUGCAAGAUAGGAAGGAACUGAAUGGGAAUGGAAAAACAUGAUACAUCCAAAGAGACAGUAAAAUAUUUUCAUGACAUCGAAGGAAAGAACAAACUUCAUGGGAUAACUGUAAGUAUGGGGUGUCCAAUACACCCAUACUUCAAUUUUCAUCUGAAUGGAAUUGUUCUACUCGUUUUAAGGGUGAGGAAACUGAGGCUUACAGAGUAGAUGAGACUGGCUUUAGCAUCUGAUGGUUCGCCUUCCCAGUCUUCAUGCAUUCAGAAACAAGACGUAUUUAAUAGCACAUAAAAAUGUCUGCAGGUUUGGGGGCAGCCUGGGAGAUGGUAUGGUGGGUAAAGAACUCGCUGUGAGAAUGUAAGCAUGGAUUCUCCAGAAACCACAUAAAAGUGAGGCACUAGCAAGAAUGCACAAAAUGCCGGUGUUCCUACUGAAUGGUGGGGGCAGAGGCAAGAGACUCUCUGGGAGAUCAGAGGCCACCGAGUCUGGAGAACAUGUCAGCAAACAAGAAGAAAGCUUGUCUCAAACACAUUAGAAGGUGAGGUGUAACAUCGUAAGUCGUCCUCUGGGGUCCAGAUAUGCAUGCACAUGCACACACAGCGCCAUCUCCCCAACUCUUACUCCAUCAUUUAUGAAGCACCUGUUGCAUUGAUUACCCUAAUCCAAAGAAGCAAUUAAUACAGACCUGGGGAGAUGAUUCUAUGAGGAAGAGUUUUUGCUGCCCAAAUAAAAAGACCUGAGUUUGAAUCUCUUGCACCCACAUACAGAAUUCUGGGCAUGAAAAUGCAUACAUAUAACUUCAGUACUAUGGCCAAAGGGGGGGGGGAUCCCUAGGGCUUCCUAACUGCUUGCCUAGCUCCAGGUUCAGUGAAUAACCCUAUCUAAAUAUAAUAAGGUUGCGCUUGAUAGAGCAAGUGACUCAGUAUUUCCUCUGGCUUUUGUGUGCACAUACCUAGGGACAGGAAACAGUCUAUAUAAUGCACAUACACCACAUACAAAACCAACCAGACAAAACCUAUCCAUUCUCACUAAACAAGCAUUGCUGUUCAAAGUGUCAUGUGACGUUAUGACUUCCUCUUUCAGACUGUCAUAAGAGAAGACUGGGUACAGACAAGAAGAUCAAUAUUUUCUCUUGCCGUUAUCUAAUUAUGGAAUAAUGUCAGCUACAAAUAUUGACUGAACAGCUAAUCUUACAAGAUGCCUUGCUGGGCAGUAGAGCAUCCUGAAGAGUAGGUCCAGUGUAUGCUUUGGUCAAGAAGAUUUCAGCAAUUCGUACUCUGAGGAAAUCAACAAGAGGGAAGCCAAACAAGCAAACUAGAGAGACUCAGGACAGAAGCUGGCACUGUAAUUGAGUCAUCCCAGAGCGAUUCCACCAAUCUGUAACGUCAGAUGCUGCCGGACGACAAGAUCUGUG